rnacentral:rRNA from 1 species
GACGUAGGGCGCGAGCGUUGUCCGGAUUUAUUGGGCGUAAAGAGCUCGUAGGCGGCUUGUCGCGUCGACUGUGAAAUCCCUCGGCUUAACCGGGGAACUGCAUCCGAUACUGGAUGGCUUGAGUUCGGGAGAGGGAUGCGGAAUUCCAGGUGUAGCGGUGAAAUGCGUAGAUAUCUGGAGGAACACCGGUGGCGAAGGCGGCAUCCUGGACCGACACUGACGCUGAGGAGCGAAAGCCAGGGGAGCAAACGGG